ACCUUAAAGCUAGCCUACCCACCAAUAUAUCUAAACCUUAUAAAUUUAAUUUAUACCAGAAUUAUUACUUAAAACAUUUUAACUUUUUAGUAUGGGUGACAGAACAAAAUCUUAGCGCAAUAGCUUAUGUACCGCAAGGGAAGACUGAAAAAGAAAUGAAAUAAAUUAUUAAAGUAUUAAAAAGCAGAGACUAUUCCUCGUACCUUUUGCAUCAUGAUUUAACUAGAAAAACUAGGCAAAAUGACUUUAAGUCUACCUCCCCGAAACUAAACGAGCUACUCCGGAGCAGCACUAUUAGAGCAAACCCGUCUCUGUGGCAAAAGAGUGGGAAGACUCCCGAGUAGUGGUGAAAAGCCUACCGAGUUUAGUGAUAGCUGGUUACCCAAGAAAAGAACUUCAGUUCUGCAUUAAUUUUUUAAUAACUAAAUAAGACUUCCUUAUUAAAGUGAAAUAUAAGAAUUAAUAGUUAUUUAGAAGAGGUACAGCCCUUCUAAAUUAAGAUACAACUUUCUAAGGUGGGAAAUGAUCAUAAUUAUUAAGGCUUUUUCCCCCAGUGGGCCUAAAAGCAGCCACCUGUAAAGAAAGCGUCGCAGCUCCAGCCUUACAAUAAACCUAUAAUUUAGAUAUUAACUCAUAACCCCCUUAGCACUAUUGGGUUAUUUUAUAAAUAUAUAAAAGAACUUAUGUUAAAAUGAGUAAUAAGAGAAAAACCCUCUCCCGACACAAGUGUAUAUCAGAAAGAAUUAAAUCACUGACAAUUAAACGACCCCAAACUGAGGUCAUUAUAAAUUUAUACAAUUAACUAGAAAAACCUAUUCCAUUACUCGUUAAUCCUACACAGGUGUGUCCCAAGGAAAGAUUAAAAGAAAAUAAAGGAACUCGGCAAACACAAACUCCGCCUGUUUACCAAAAACAUCGCCUCUUGCUAAAUUAUAAGAGGUCCCGCCUGCCCUGUGACAAUGUUUAACGGCCGCGGUAUUUUGACCGUGCAAAGGUAGCGUAAUCACUUGUCUUUUAAAUGAAGACCCGUAUGAAAGGCACCACGAGAGUUUAACUGUCUCUAUUUUCUAAUCAAUGAAAUUGAUCUAUUCGUGCAGAAGCGGAUAUAAUAACAUAAGACGAGAAGACCCUAUGGAGCUUCAAACACUUAGACUAAUUAUGUACUUUUUUAUAAUCUACGGACAUAAAUAAAAAUAUAAUACUUCUAGUCUACCUGUUUUUGGUUGGGGUGACCAAGGGGGAAAGUAAAUCCCCCUUAUCGAUUGAGUACUCAGUACUUAAAAAUUAGAAUAACAAUUCUAAUUAAUAAAAUAUUUAUCGAAAAAUGACCCAGGAUUUCCUGAUCAAUGAACCAAGUUACCCUAGGGAUAACAGCGCAAUCCUUUCCCAGAGUUCCUAUCGACGAAAG
rnacentral:rRNA from 1 species